GGGCCGGUGAUCUAGCCCGGUAUGAUGCCAGUCUCACACACUGGAUGUCGAUGGUUCAAAUCCGUCCCGGCCCA
rnacentral:tRNA from 1 species